GUACUAUCCAACUGUAAGGAUGUACAUGCUACAAAUUCUGGUGCUGAGCUUCCUCUUUGUGUCGGGCAGUGGGGUGACAGAAGAAGAUUCUGAUGUGUACAAGACUCCUGAUUUCUGUAAAGGGGUUAAGUGUCCCAGGUAUCAAGUGGUGGAGAAAUUUAGGGUAAGUGGAUAUUCCUUUGACUUAACCUGGGUACCAUAUAAUCAUAUAAUGUAAAGACCUAAUUUUAGAACAUGUAUCUGUCAAUGGAAUGAAAGGUGUGCGCAUGUGCUGUGAGCCGGCAAAAUGGUCCAAUCUACGAGAAGCCUGCAAUUGUACAAUGCAAGUGCUGCCACGGUGUUCGAUGGUGGAGGGUGAUCAAUGUGGAACCUUUGCCUGCAGCUGGAUUUCAGGUAAGUUUUAAAUGAUUUUUCAUUUUUAAAAGGGGACCACCUAGAAAUGACCUAUAGCGUCAGUGGCAUACAUAUUGGGGUUGCAGGGGUCACAGCUGCGACCAGGCCCGUCACUCCAGGGGGCCCGGCCACGCUGCAGACCCCUGUGACCGGGCCCCCUUGGCUGACCAGCAGCCAUGUUUUGCAGCCCCGGCCUGCACGGCAAACCGUCGGGGCUGCACGUUCAAUGGGCCCAUUGAGUGGCCCAUGCUGUUAGGGCCACCCAAUGGGUAUGGAUUUCCAGGGGGCUCAGUCAGCACUGCCCCUGUAAUGAGAUCACUGCUUGGAGGAAGUAACUGUCCCAGUCACUCCUCCCAGCUAUCAGAGAUCCGCACGGGAGGUAGGAGAGGGAGUCAGAGUUGGAAUUCUGACUCCCAUCAACCUGAGUCACCAAUGGACCCCAGGGAAAGUCACCCUCCUGCACCUAAAAGGUAGGAAACAGGAGGGUGACUUAAACAUUUUGUAUAUGUGUGUGUGUGUUUGUAUCUGUGUGUAUACGUUUGUAUGUCUGUUUGUGUCUGUCUCUGUAUGUAUGUGUCCCUGUCUGUUUGUAUGUAUGUACGUACGUACGUACGUACAUACGUACGUACGUGUCUUUGUCUGUCUGUCUGUAUGUGUCUUUGUAUGUGUCUGUCUGUAUGUGUCUGUCUGUAUGUGUCUAUGUGUUUCUAUGUAUGUAUGUGUCUGUAUGCAUGUGUCUAUGUAUGUUUGUAUGUGUGUGUGUGUGUCUGUCGAGGGGGGGGGGAUUGAGAAGGGGGGAAAGGGAGCAGGGGGCCCCAUGGAUCAGUUUCGCACUGGGGCCCCAUGGAUUGUGUGUAUGUCACUGUAUAGGGUAUAUAUGCAGCUUUAAUGAAACCUAAUAGGAAUAAGCAUGUUUUCUACAUGUAGAUAAGCAAUUUAGAGCUUGAUACAGUAACUGCAAAUUAGUAUCUCUAUAUCUAUUGUAAACAUAUUAUUUGCUGCAUUAGAUUGCCUCGGUGUGGAUAUUAACUAUGCUUUAGGUGGAAUGGUGGUCUUUAAUGUGCUCACUCUCACCAAUAAAAAAACCUGCCCUGAAAACAUAGGAAUCAAGUAUAAUAAGAAAGGAUCACUGUAGUAGUGAAUACUUAUAGUAGUAAUUAAUCUGCUCAUUAUAGUAAUGGUUUUCUAUCUAUCCCUGUCUCGAUUUCAGGGUUUUGAGCUUAGAGAGUAUGAGCCAACAAAUUGGUUAACAACCAAUUUAGAUUGGACUCUUGAUGGCCAUGACCUUGACAAUGGAUUUCUUCGUCUCUUCAAGUAUGCUAAUGGAACAAAUAAAGAAGGUUUGUUA